rnacentral:miRNA from 1 species
UUGGCCAAAAAGUUCGUUCGGGUUUUCUGUACUAUUACAGAAAAACCUGAAUGAACUUUUUGCCAAC